CUGCAGUCCAUAACACGUCCACACAGGCCAUUCCGUUUCCGUUCACCGUGUCAGAGUUCUGGGAGGUCGGCGGAACCCUAAGCGAAAGCUCUGACUUCUCUACAUUUCCCCUAGAGAAGGCCAUGAGCCUGUUACAGUGGUUAGAGCCCAUUCUUUUAAGUGAAGUGUCAU